UGGUGGAGUGAUUUGUCUGGUUAAUUCCGUUAACGAACGAGACCGCUGCCUGCUAAAUAGUCCAGUGAGUGAAUUUCACUGACCAGGACUUCUUAGAGGGGCGUGCAUUUUUUAAAUGCAGGAAGAUAGCGGCGAUAACA
rnacentral:rRNA from 1 species